GCGAUGCAUCACUGCUGGGAGUGCCAAGCCAUGGUUGUGUCCUGGGUGCUGGUGGAGGGUGGAAUAGCCCAAUGCUCCCAGCAGUGCCAGGGUUUAUGGCUGGGUCAUAUGGGGAGCUGGGGCAGGCUGCUCUGCCCAGCUUUGUGCCAGGGCUCACACGUCAAUCCAGAUGGGCUGUAGGUGCUGGACUCUGAACACAAGGAUCUGCCUGUGUGUCUUCGUGAAUCAACGGUGCUGAUUUCUCCCAUUCACCAGGAACCGGUCUGUCAGGCAGAAUGUCAUUGGCACCAACCUCUCUCUGUGGUUAGCUUCCCCCAGCCCUGCAUUGGAACCACCAGUCCUGCUGCAGGUACGAACCUCCCUCAACUGGGUGCUGAGCCCUGAGAGCUCCAGCCCUGAGCAGCUGCAUCUGCCCGUCCCUGUGGACCUGCUGGCUUCCCCAGUGUACCAGUGCCUCAGGGCACAGGUUGGCUGGCACAGGAGUGCAGCUCACCAGGGACAGGCACUGGCGCACAGCCAUUUCCUGGGGACAAGAGAUCAGAGUGAUGCAAAUGGAGGAGAGUAGCCAGAGCACCAGAAAUGUAAAGGUCUCUCCACAGACUGGUCACACUCAGAGCCUGUGUUUAGGAAUAAUAUGUAAUGAGUGUGCAAUGGAACAAGUUUGUCCAGAGUUGUGUUCCCAGACUGCAUUCCCUGAGCCUGUGCAUCAGCAGAGGUAACCUCUAUCUAGCCAUUACUGGAAAGAGGUCUUUGCUGUGGUAUUCAGUGGUAUUUAAUGAAUAAUAAGACAUUGCAUUAAUUAGUAUUAGGUCUGAUUUGGUGACGUGUAAUUUGGGGGGAAGGAUUACAGAGUAAGUAUUUGAAUGAGAAUUUUUAUAGGACAGAGUCAAAAUGAGAUUAGCAGUGUCACUACGCAGGGAGCCCAGGGGCUGACGUGUGUGUGUUUAGCAACUGAUGCAGAUAGAGCACAACUUUAUUUAGUGGUGGGAAAAGAACGUGUAGCUGUUAUUUACCUUUAUGUGUCACCCUGUAUAAUGUGCGCCUCAGUCACCAUGAAAGAGAAAAGCAAACAGGCACCAUUUCAGCAGAAACGCCCUGUGGUGCUCAGCACCACAUGUGACGUACGUGUGCAGAGGGAUUUCAGCAUGCCACAGGUGGGAUCCUUCUAUAGGAAUGGAAGGAGGAAGUUUGUCUCCCUGAUGUGCCCAAGCCCCACUGAGGACACGAGGAGCAGAACCAGUGCCUGGUCCCUGGCACAGCCUUGACCCAGGCGUGCUCUCCAUGCAGAGGGCACCAGGUUAUGUCUAGUCCAACGUGAGUGCCCCAAGCAGCACAUGGGUUUGAUGCAGUGACAUGUGGUGUAGGACCCCUCACUGUCUGCUCCAGAUAGCAACCGGUCCUCACUGUCCUGUGUUACCUGCUAAUAUAGCCACCAGCCAUGCCCUCUGC